AACGAACGCUGGCGGCAUGCCUAACACAUGCAAGUCGAACGAGACCUUCGGGUCUAGUGGCGCACGGGUGCGUAACGCGUGGGAACCUGCCCUUAGGUUCGGAAUAACUCCCCGAAAGGGGUGCUAAUACCGGAUAAUGUCUUCGGACCAAUGAUUUAUCGCCUUUGGAUGGGCCCGCGUUGGAUUAGCUAGUUGGUAGGGUAAAAGCCUACCAAGGCGACGAUCCAUAGCUGGUCUGAGAGGAUGAUCAGCCACACUGGGACUGAGACACGGCCCAGACUCCUACGGGAGGCAGCAGUGGGGAAUAGUGGACAAGGGGCGAAAGCCUGAUCCAGCAAGGCCGCGGGAGUGAUGAAGGCCUUAGGGUGGUAAAGCUCUUUUACCCGGGAUGAUAAUGACAGUACCGGGAGAAUAAGCGCAGGCGAACUCCGU
rnacentral:rRNA from 1 species